rnacentral:rRNA from 1 species
UACGAAGGGGGCUAGCGCUGCUCGGAAUCACUGGGCGUAAAGGGUGCGUAGGCGGGGCUUUAAGUCAGGGGGGAAAUCCUGGAGCUCAACUCCAGAACUGCCUUUGAUACUGAAGAUCUUGAGUUCGGGAGAGGUGAGUGGAACUGCGAGUGUAGAGGUGAAAUUCGUAGAUAUUCGCAAGAACACCAGUGGCGAAGGCGGCUUACUGGUCCGGUACUGACGCUGAGGUGCGAAAGCGUGGGGAGCAAACAGG